rnacentral:rRNA from 1 species
UGUCCCUACGGGGGGCAGCAGUGGGGGACAUUGCACAAUGGGGGAAACCCUGAUGCAGCGACGCCGCGUGGGUGAAGAAGCGCCUCGGCGCGUAAAGCCCUGUCAGCAGGGAAGAAAAUGACGGUACCUGAAGAAGAAGCCCCGGCUAACUACGUGCCAGCAGCCGCGGUAAUACGUAGGGGGCAAGCGUUAUCCGGAUUUACUGGGUGUAAAGGGGGCGCAGACGGCGAUGCAAGCCCGGAGUGAAAGCACGGGGCCCACACCCGGAACUGCUCUUGGAACUGCGUGGCUAGAGUGCAGGAGGG